UGGAGAAAGGCAGAGAGGCAGGCAGUGCGAGGGACAGGGAGCAUACCUGCCACUCUGCCAGCACUCCG
ensembl:miRNA